CCCGCGCUCCCCGCCCUGGGCUUCCCCGGGGCCCCCGCCGGACUGGAAACCGGGGUCCAGCCGGGGCGCCCCCGCCCCCUCCGGGAGUGGGAUUUAAAGGCACAGGAACUGCGUCAUGGGAAGGCGCGCAGCACUCAGGGCGCCCUCGGCCCCCUCCCGGGAGCUGGGCGGUGAGGCCUGCAGAGCAGGACCUGCCAGCUGAGCGCCCCUACCCUCGCCCCUGCCCGCCCCCGCGCCUCGCCCCUCCCGCCGGGCUCGGAUCUGCCCCGCCUGCCCCUGACUCGACUGAGGCCCUUUGCAAACCACAGAAGUUCUCUAAAUGUCUGCGGUGGCAUCAUUGGACCAGCUACGUCUUGGACUUUAUUGGAAGCUGCCAAAUUGCUUUCCAAACACCUGGAGCAACUGACCUCUCACCCUUCAGUGUGCCUGGGUUUGUGGUUCUCUAUUUCCUGGCCAGCACUGGUGUCCUCAAACUUCUGAUUUUCUUUCCAUUUAUUUUACUUUGUUCAUCUAAAUGGGUAUGAAAUAAUAUCUCUGGGCUGUUUCAUGUCCAUGGAAAUUUCUCUGUUGUAAAUGUGUGGGCCAAAGGAACUGCACCUUGUCCUCAAGAGAUUCGGGUCGAAACCUUGGCUCCGGGGCCCACCAGCAGUAUGGCUUUGGGCAGUCACCUAAUGUCCCUGAGCUCAGUUUUCUCAUCUGUAAAAUGGAGAUGGCAGAGUUCCCAUAGGGUUACCGUGGGAAUUCAAAAGCUAGGCGCCCAGCACUCAGUAAGCGCUCGGGAAGUGGGAAGUAAUGUUAUUGGAAGCCAGCCCCCCAGGGAGGGUCAUGGAUUCCUGCAUGGAGACACCCAGCCCUCUGCCUGUUGAAAUAAACAUUGCCACCACUCGUA
rnacentral:lncRNA from 1 species